rnacentral:lncRNA from 1 species
UUGGAUAGUGAGGUACAGAGAGAUGGGGGAUCUUGGGUUUGAUUGAGAAUGAUUGACUGUAAGACAAGCUGCCUUAUGAGGAUGUUGCAACACCACUGAGUGAGUUUUCUGAACCUGAACAAGGCAACAGCAGCACCACAGAAUCUGUCAAAACACAAGAAAUGAAGUGGACAAACCUAGCUUACAUUACCUCCACAAGAACACUGCCCCCACA